UUCGUAGGCGGUGCGGCAAGUCGGAAGUGAAAUCUCCAGGCUCAACUUGGAGGCUGCUCCCGAAACUGCCGUGCUAGAGUGCGGGAGAGGCCAGUGGAAUUGCAGGUGUAGCGGUGAAAUGCGUAGAUAUCUGCAGGAACACCCGUGGCGAAGGCGGCUGGCUGGACCGCAACUGACGCUGAGGAACGAAAGCUAGGGAGCAAACA
rnacentral:rRNA from 1 species